rnacentral:rRNA from 1 species
AUUGAACGCUGGCGGCAUGCUUUACACAUGCAAGUCGAACGAGUGGCGAACGGGUGAGUAAUAUAUCGGAACGUACCGAGUAAUGGGGGAUAACCAAUCGAAAGAUAGGCUAAUACCGCAUAUGAGUCGAGCGGCCGAUAACUGAUUAGCUAGUUGGUGGGGUAAAGGCCUACAAAGGCGACGAACAGUAGCGGGUCUGAGAGGAUGACCAGCCACACUGGGACUGAGACACGGUCCAGACUCCUACGGGAGGCAGCAGUGGGGAAUAUUGCACAAUGGGCGCAAGCCUGAUGCAGCCAUGCCGCGUGUAUGAAGAAGGCCUUCGGGUUGUAAAGUACUUUCAGCGGGGAGGCGUUACCCGCAGAAGAAGCACCGGCUAACUCCGUGCCAGCAGCCGCGGUAAUAC